rnacentral:rRNA from 1 species
UAGGGAAUCUUCGGCAAUGGGGGCGAACCCUGACCGAGCAACGCCGCGUGAGUGAAGAAGGUUUUCGGAUCGUAAAGCUCUGUUGUAAGAGAAGAACGUGUGUGAGAGUGGAAAGUUCACACAGUGACGGUAACUUACCAGAAAGGGACGGCUAACUACGUGCCAC